rnacentral:rRNA from 1 species
GACGAACGCUGGCGGCGUGCCUAAUACAUGCAAGUAGAACGCUGAAGAGAGGAGCUUGCUCUUCUUGGAUGAGUUGCGAACGGGUGAGUAACGCGUAGGUAACCUGCCUUGUAGCGGGGGAUAACUAUUGGAAACGAUAGCUAAUACCGCAUAACAAUGGAUGACACAUGUCAUUUAUUUGAAAGGGGCAAUUGCUCCACUACAAGAUGGACCUGCGUUGUAUUAGCUAGUAGGUGAGGUAAUGGCUCACCUAGGCGACGAUACAUAGCCGACCUGAGAGGGUGAUCGGCCACACUGGGACUGAGACACGGCCCAGACUCCUACGGGAGGCAGCAGUAGGGAAUCUGCGGCAAUGGGGGCAACCCUGACCGAGCAACGCCGCGUGAGUGAAGAAGGUUUUCGGAUCGUAAAGCUCUGUUGUAAGUCAAGAACGGGUGUGAGAGUGGAAAGUUCACACUGUGACGGUAGCUUACCAGAAAGGGACGGCUAACUACGUG